UGCAUCACCGCGAAAAAUUUUACGCUAUUCUAUGCAAAGCAAUGAAAAUGAGAAAGGUAAAACCUGCUCCGACGUUUUAGAGGAGCUCAAAAAAACGACGGAAACUCUAAAAUUGGGGAAUGCAG